CGCGGGGUGGAGCAGCCUGGUAGCUCGUCGGGCUCAUAACCCGAAGGUCGGCGGUUCAAAUCCGCCCCCCGCAACCA
rnacentral:tRNA from 2 species